rnacentral:rRNA from 1 species
GUCGAACGGCGGGGAGCAAUCCCUGCAGUGGCAGACGGCUGAGGAAGACGGCAGGAACCUACCCUGCGGAGGGGGAUAACCCCGCGAAAGCGGGGCUAAGACCGCGUACGCUCGCCUGGGGGAGAACCAGGCGAGGAAAACCGCGAGGUGCCGCAGGAGGGGCUGCCGGCCCAUCAGGUAGUUGGUGAGGUAAGGGCUCACCAAGCCGAUGACGGGUCGCUGGUCUGAGAGGAUGACCAGCCAGACUGGGACUGCGACACGGCCCAGACUCCUACGGGAGGCAGCAGCUAGGAAUCUUGCGCAAUGGGCGACAGCCUGACGCAGCGACGCCGCGUGGGGGACGACGGUCUUCGGAUUGUAAACCCCUUUGGGGUGGGACGAGCAAGGACGGUACCACCCAAACAAGCCCCGGCUAACUACGUGCCAGCAGCCGCGGUAAGACGUAGGGGGCGAGCGUUGUCCGGAUUUACUGGGCGUAAAGGGCGCGUAGGCGGUCGCGGCCGUGGGGGGUGAAAGGUGCGGGCUCAACCCGCAUAGGUCUCCCCAGACCCCGCGACUCCGAGGGCAGUAGAGGCAGGUGGAAUUCCGGGUGUAGUGGUGAAAUGCGUAGAGAUCCGGAGGAACACCGGUGGCGAAGGCGGCCUGCUGGGCUGUCCCUGACGCUGAGGCGCGAAAGCGUGGGGAGCGAACUGAAUUAGAUACUCAGGUAGUCCACGCCCUCAACGAUGGACACUA